GCAUACAUAAUAAACUUGAGAAAGGAAAAUAAAAUUUCUAAAACAAUGACUAACAGAUAACCACACAAAAAAUGAGCAGAAGAAGCAAGAAAAAAUCCAACAUGGCAAUGCUGAUUUGAAUCUUCCAUCAUGGGCUGUGCAUGGAUUGCAAGGCACACGUUCAAUUAAGAGGAAACUAUAGAUCACUUAAGAGAUCUUGAAUACCGGGUAGGCCUCACAAAAAUCUACGACUUCUAGUCAUUUUCUCCUGCAAGAAACCCCAUAUACAGUAGCACAAAAAAACCCACACUAGGAAGCUAUACAACAUAUCCUGCUUUCAAAGCAAACAAAGU
rnacentral:misc_RNA from 1 species